rnacentral:lncRNA from 1 species
CUUUGAAAUUUGCACAGGGUUAUUAUGCAGAUGGCGGCAGGGAGGUCUUGGCUCCCCCACAUAGGUGACAAACGCCACCUCCACCCACCACACAUGUUCCUCCUCAAGCCUACGUUUGUUCAGUUUUUGGAAGCUUCCAGUAUGAGCCUUCCAAGGGAGCUCACCUUCCUCAUCUGCAAGACCUUGUGACACAUGGGUCAAUAUGAGACAUAUUCCCUGUCCUCAAGGAGGUCACCAUCUGGGACACAUGUCCCAGAACCACCUUGCCUCUGCUCUGUUCUUUUACCCAAUGCAAACUGGCUUCUCUUCCCUUGGGAGGUUCCCCCUGACCCAGCAGUUGAAGCUUGGUGGCCUCCUUUUGGGCUGGUCCUGUUGGGUUCGUGUGAACAGGGGUCAAAACAUUCCUUUCAUCUUUAUUCUCCUUUCAGUGACCAGGAGUCCUUCUUAAACCCAAGUGUGGCUUUCAUAUUCCUUGGCUCCAGAGCCUUCCCAUGAUUCUCUGUUGCUUAUGGUAUAUUAUCAAUUUUAUUUUUUGCAUGGCACCCCCUUCCCUUCUUUCUGCUGGCUGCACUAACUCCGUGUGUGCUUGCUGUCCUUGAAAUGAUAGAAUUUUAGGCCCAGGGCCUUACCCAAUUGGUACAUUUGGUCCGUAAGGUCCUAUCUCCCAAUCACCCUCCCUUUUCAUCCCUCUCCCCGAAUGCUGCCACGAACAUCUAUUCAUUCUUCAAAGUCCAAUUGAAAACUCAUACUCUGGCAGCUUCCCUGACCCCCAUACAAAGUGAAGUUUUUGUGCCUAAUAUCCAAUUAUUCUAACUGUGCUGUACUGCUGAUAAUGCAUUAUGGUUAUUUGCAUAUUGCCUUAUCUUUUUCACUGACUUAUGGGACUAAUUAAUUCAUUCAACCUACUCCUUUUUUUGCCCAGCAUUUAAUAGAUGCUUAAUAAAAGUUUGUUAAAUAUAAAUGAAUCACUUAACUCCUCCACUUCCUCCAAUUGAGUACAAGCUUUGGGGGCAGCCAUUCUGUUUUUCCUCUUUGUUUAUUCCAUUGAACUUAGUUUGGUAUCUGCCACAUAGCAAAUGCUCAAUGAAUGUUGAAAGUGGUAAUAUGUAUCUAUGUAUCUGUAUAUGAAAGCCUGAAUAAAGCCACAUACAAAAUUUGCCUGGUAGCAUUCCAAGUUAGGGGGGAAGAUGGGAGAAAGAUGGUAACAUUGCCCAUUUUUUGGAUGAGAAGCCUGAACAACAGGGAAGGUAUAUGGUGGGUACAACUCUGACUUCCUAGUGUACUACUUGCUUUGCUUCUCUGGAUGCUUCUGAAAGUCUCAUCUAAGGUAAUGUCAAAGAAUCGGGUAGACAUCACAACCUUGAAGAAGUCUUAGGGUCUUGGGAAAGAGCUGAGGUCUUGUCUGCUGAGCACAUCCACUAUGUGAAUGAACCCCCACACGUCCCAUGUCCCCUCCCACAGGAGAUCAGGGGCUCUUUCUAGUUGCACAAUUCUGUUUUUCUUCCACUGGAGAUCCAAGGGGACUCAGGGUUCAGCCCAGCUUUCCCAUCAGGACUGUGGGCAUGUAUAUGACAAACAUUAAGUCUCUAUUAAAAAGCAUUGGUUCAGAGUGUCUGGGUGGUUCAGUCUGUUAAGCAUCCAACUCUUCAUUUGGGCUCAGGUCAUGAUCUCACGGCUUGUGGGUUCGAGGCUCACGUUGGGCUCUGAGCUGGCAGUGUGGACAGAGCCUGCUUUGGAUUCUCUCUUCUUCUCUGUCUGCCCCUCCUCUGCGUGUACUCUCUCUCUCAAAAUAAAUAAACAUGAAAAAAAAAGCAUUGGUUCAUAAUUUUGAAUUUGUUUUUCUUUUUCUUUUUUUGGAACCAGAUUCAUUCACCCAGCCACAUUUAACAGCUUCUGGGGCUGUGUGUCAGACAUUCUGCUAGUUGCUGGCAUAGAGUGAUGGAGAAAGUAAACACAGUGCCUGGUCUCAGGGGCUCCCAGACUAGCAGGGCAGGCCGACAGAUACACAUUUGCUCACACCUGACUACUAUGCAGGGGCAACAUGCAGAGGCCCAUGAAAGAGGCAUUGGGCUGGAGCUAGGGCUCCGGGUGUGACUUGGCCCCUGCCUUUUGACCGGACUGGAUGACUCAGGGCAGCCAGGCUGGAGAGGCAGAAGGAAGCAAGGAGACUGAUGGAGGAAAUGCUUCAGAGAAGAGGAAAUAUGCAGAAUGUCCCUUUCUCAUCCCAUGUGGCUCAGGUAGCUUUCUCUCCUAUUAUUCUAAGCUCUGCCUUGCUCAUUCUGUUCCCCUUCCUUGCAGAGUUUAACCCUGUCUCUAUUUUCUGUACUCUCACACAGGCACAGAAACGUGCAUGUGAACACACACACACACAAACACCCCACUAUGGCCUCUGCUCCAGCUUUCAGAACGUCUCUUUCAGGGAGGGAGUGGGCUCACUUGCCUUUCUGAUCUCAACUGUUGCUUUCACAGCAGCUGGCCUGCCUAGUGACGUUUUGUUCCUAUUGAGACAGUAGAAACCAAAUAAAUAGAGGCAAGCAAAAUAUGGAGUUCAAGGAAACAGAAGGAAGGGAGAGAGCUAAGCUGUUUUGCCCUUGUAGAUAGGAAACCAAGUGCUUUGCUAACGAUUACCUGGGGUAGGGCGGGAUGGGGGUGGGGUGGGGUGGGGAUCUGCCCUGCCUGAUGGUUACGUUCUAUUUUCAAACUGAACAAGUUGGUAUAAAAAAUGAAACUCUCAUAAAAGUUAAAAUGGCAAAUGUCGAUUUCCUUGUUUUCCGGAUUUCACAACUCAGGCAGAAGAGGAGUUAAAUUGUAGUAGUGCAAGGAAAUAGCAGAGCAAAAGUCACUGUGCUGUUUCUUGGAACAAUUUCUGCCCAACCAGUUAUCAUUUCUCAAGCCCUCUGAAAGCGUGCCAAAAGCUGUCUGCAUAAGUAGCGACAGGCUGAGCAGCCAGCACUGGGUGUUCUAGACUUUGGGCGUAAUGCUCAGCAGCUUUUACAGUUAUCUCUUUAAUUGGCCUCUGAUUUGCUUUUAUUUUAAGCAGUGCCUUUUGGUGGAAAGUGCACUGAACUAGGAGUCAGAAUAUCUGGGGUCUAGUCUUACCAGGCCAUAGCAAACGACUGCCUUUGGGAAGCAUCGUAUUUUUUACCCAUGAGAGGAGAAGCAAUUAAAGCAGAGGUCUUUAAGGCUUCUUCCUACCUCCAAGAGCCUUUGUUCUAGGUCAGGGGUUGGCAAACGAUAGCCCCACUGCCUGUUUGUGUUCUGUCCAUAGGCUAAGAGUGGUUCUUCCAUUUUUAAUGGUUGAAUGAAAUCAAAAGAAGAAUAAUAUUUUGUGAUCUAUCAAGAUGAUCUGACUUCUAAUUCAAUGUCCAUAAAUAAAGUCUUAUUGGCUAUGGGCCUCUUCACUUGUCUAUUGUCUACGGCGGCUUUUUUAUUGCUGUGGUAGAGCUGAGUGGUUGCAGAGACCGCAUGGCCUAAGAUGUUUGCUAUCUGGUCCUUUACAGAAAAAGUUUGCUGAUACCUGUUGACCACAGUGAAACAUAUAUUCUUACUUUCUACAUUCGUGAAAACGAUAUACCUCAGUGAGUUACUGUAAGAAGUAAAUGAGCUAGGGGCACCUGGGUGGCUCAGUUGGUUAAGCAUCCGAUUUCGACUCAGGUCAUUAUCUCACAGCUCGUGAGUUCAAGCCCCACAUCGGGCUCUGUGCUGACAGCUCAGAGCCUGGAGCCUGCUUCAGAUUCUCUGUCUCUGUAUCUCUCGCUGCCCCUCCCCGGCUCGUGCUCUGUCUCUCUCUCUCUCAAAAAUAAAUAAACAUUAAAAAAAUAAAAGGAAGUAAAUGAGCUAAUGAUGUUUAUUGAAAAAGGAUGUCAUGUACAUAAAUACCUCAGCACCUGCGGGUUUCUGGAUGGAGAAGGAAGAAACCCUCAUUAGUAGUUUGUACAAAAACAAGCUAUAUUUCUCAUUCAGCAGGGUUGAAAAUGUAUAGGAUUGCAGUUGUGUGAAAUUAUGUGUACAUCUGUAAGGGAAAAUAACAAGAACUUACUUGCUAGGUUGGUAUGAUUCUAGACGAAGGGGUGUGUGUGUGUGUGUGUGUGUGCCUCAAUUAUUUAAACUACUGCUAAAACUGUUUUCAAAUAAAUACGAAAAGGGGGAAAGUAUCCAGUCACCUUUACUUUGAUAUUAAUGUUGAAAAAAAAGGGUUUUUUUAAAAUUUCCAGGUGAAUGUUGAGCUUUAAUGGAAGAGAUUUAGUUAUCUGUGUGUUCCAUACUAAGUUGUCUGUAGGCAGCUCUCUCCUAAACAAUUGAAAGAUAUGAAGAGUUAAAUAUUGGAAACAAUAUAUUUUUUAUUUUUAUAUGGUUUUUUAAAGUUGAUUUAUUUUGAGAGAGAGAGAGAGAGAGAGAGAGCAGCAUGAGCAAGGGAGGGGCAGAGAGAGAACAGAGAGAAUCCAAAGCAGGCUCUGCACUGUCAGCACACAGAACCUGAUAUGGGGGCUUGAUCUAACGAACCGUGAGACCAUGACCUGAGCCAAAAUCAGGAAUCUGACACUUAACCAACUGACCCACCGAGGCUACCCAACACUAUAUGAUUUUAGAAAAAUUACAACAGCCAUGAUUUAUGGGUUUUGUUAUAAUACUAUUAGAAUAACCCCUCACCUGUUAAAUAGGUGAUCUUUUACUUAAGUGUUUAGCAAGAAAAACAAAGUUCUACUUGUUUAAAAUUUAACUAACUCAGCUGAGAGGAAAACCGAACAUUUUCAAUGGAGAUUGGGUCAGUUUCAGGUUUGGCAAAAUACACAAAGAUCAAAGUCUUUCAUGAGAGGUUCAGAGCUUGAGUGUGCCAAAGAAUAACCUAGAGAUAGUAGAACUUGGAUUUCACAUCCUAUUUUCUAAUAGUCACUGUCUAGGGAGCUUCCAGAUCCACUCAGUUAAUUUCAUUUGUCAUUGGUAUAUAAAUAGCGAUGUCCUUUCUCCAUGAAAGUGACCAGCAGUUUGGUUGAACUGGUGGAGUUCUCUGUGGACACAGCCUUACAGUGAGCUGUGUGCAAGCUUCACACAGAAAGUGGGAUUGCCCCUCUCUCUUUCCUGAGGUGCAGAAUGAAAUUUCAGGAGGCUGGGGCACCCAAUUCCCUGGGCUGGCAAUGCAGCUUCUCUUGGUAGUAGCAGUGGGACCUUGGGCAAGCCACCUAAUCCCGCUGAACCAUGACUUCUUCAUCUUAGUUUUUAAAUUUUCAUUUUAAGUGUAUUUGUUUAUUUUGAGAGAGAGAGAGGGAGCAAGUAAGCAGGGGAGGGCAGAGAGUGAGAAUCCCAAGCAUGAGCCUGCCAUGGGGCUUGAACUCAUGAACCAUGAGAUCAUUGACCCCAGCUGAAACCAGGAAUCCAAGCCUUAACCGACUGAACCACCCAGGUGCCCCCACUUCUUCAUCUUAAAAGAGGAUGAUAAUAGAACUCACUUCAUAGAUUGGUGAAUACUAAGAAAAUUUGUGGAAAAGGGCUAAUGUUCAAUGAAUGUUAGCCAUCCUUAUUAUCAUGGGUGGUCAGGGUAGCUAAAAAGCAAAAAUGAAUCAAAUAGUUGCGGGGGGGAGGUUCAAGCAAAUGCCUUUUCAUUUUCUGCUAGCCCUGAGUCACGUGAUAAAUGUAGACUGUCCAGCUCACUGGUUUCUAAAGGAUGGAAAUGUCUGGCAGAAUUUGUUAUCAACUUUAAGUCUGUAGAAUGCCUUAGGCAGAAGUUCUUUAGCUCUUGAUGAGUGAUUUUUUUUUUUUUACAUUAAUAUACAUCCAACAGAAUGAUGAAGUACAUGCCGGCCAUUGGAUGUGUCAGGAAUGGUCAAUAAACAAUGACAAAGGAUCUUUCACAUUCUCUCAAUAAACACUGCUGCUCCUUCUCACCAUCUUCCUUGAUAAACACCAGCUGGAGUGAAGCUUUCACCCGAGAGGCAGCUCAUUGCCAUGAUGGAGGAUAAAGUCAGUGGCUGCCUGAAUUUAUCAUUGCCCCUCUUUUUUUUUUUUUUAAAGGCAUGGUAACUGGUGGGGGCUGCCUGGUUUUGGACCCUGGAUUCUAGUGGCUUCCUUCCUCACGUGGCAGACAUCAAGUGUGAUGACUUAUUUAUCUUUUUCUUUAACUCUGUCAUCCCAGCUUCUUGCUGGGGUGGAGUGAGGAGGAAAGAGACUUCAGGGCAGUUGAGUGUGAGAGUGGCCAAUAGGGGAGGGGAGAAAGAGGAUUUGAAGAGUGUGUUGUACAUAAGGAAUGGGCAUUCCCCUCUUUGCUGUUUUCACGAGAAACAAAAGAAAGGAACUAAAUGUAUUUUUGGAUGUUGAACUAGUGUUUAAUUGAAUGCUAUACUGGACCAAGAUGGGGCCACCACUCUCAGCUCCUGGCUUACUCCCUGUGCCUAGGACAGUGCCUGAUGAUGGUAAGCACUUAAUACAUAUUUGUUGAAUGAGAUACCAGCAUUCUGGUUCCAGGUAUAUAUCUCAUGAAUCCAAUGCCAUAGAUUUCCAAAUGUAUACAUUAAAGAUAAACAUCCUCUAAAUCUCCUUUUUAUGGAAGGAGCCAGUUAUUAUAACUCUUCUUUUGAAAUUUCCCUGUCCUCCUCUAGAGGAAGAUAGAUGUGUGGUAAUAUCCCAUGAACAAGCUAUAAUAUAGAAGGGAAAGUGAUCUAAUAUAGUGGAGAAAUGGCCCCAGGUCACAAUCAUGAGUGGGUGAGGAAAAGAAGGGGCACAGACACACAGAGGUUGGUCAUGUGAUUCCUGAUAUGAGCUUGGGCAUAGGGUUGAGGGACAUCCUCUUUAUUUUGUGCAUGUAGGGCAGAUGGAAGGGGGCUACUCUCUUACCCUGGACUUUUACUCCUGAUUCUGACUCAUUCAGUAGAGGAGAGGGGCAGGUGUAUGUUUGUGUGUGUGUGUGUGUGUGUGUGUGUGUGUGUGUGUGUAGCCUUGAGCCCUGUUUAUAAGUUGAGUUUGAGGUCUGUACAUGGGUCACAACUGUGCCCUAGUGGGCCCCUUCUCAUGAGAGUGGGGGUUGGGAGGGCUUUAAAGGAACCAGUGGCUUUGGGAAUAGUCAUUCAUGUAAGAACAUAAAUCCCACCAGAUGAUCAUCAUAAAUUCAAAUGUAUUUAAUUGAGUAAACAUGUAUUGUGCUCCUAUCAUGUGUCAAGUGCUAGGGCUAAAAAGAUGAACAAGAAACAAAAUCUAUUCCCAGGUGUCCCACAGCUCAGUGAGAGAAUAUAAAAGUGUAAUCAGUAUCAUAAUGAAGUACGCAGAAGGUGCUGUGGGAGGGGGGAGCAAUCAAUCUUCGGCUGUAAGCUAGAGACAGCAGGCCAUUUGAGUUGAGCCAUAAAGGAUGGUUAGAAGGUUGUCACAUGGAUGAUGUGGGGGAGGGGAAGGAAAGGACAUUUUAUGCAGAGAGAAUAGCAAAGAACCAAAGAGGGGCCAUGCAGAAAUGCAUGAUCUUUUGUUGGUACAGCAAAAGGUCAGAGAUUCUAAAGUGUGUGGUUCUAAGGAGAAAGAAGGUAGAGGAGAAGAUGGAAGGAUACAUCCUAUCCCAAGGCUAGUCCGUUGCAGGUUGGGUUUUCCAGAUGCUUAGAGUUUGAAAGCAUGAUGUUUCUUAACCACCAAGGCUAAUGAAAGAAGAGGAAACAGGAUUGGGCAGAGAGAGAAACUGAAUCCCAACGUAUACUCCACAAAACUUCAGCCACCCCAGUGGGAAGUCUUGUUCACCUCCUAGCUUUGGGCAUCACUAGAAGAGUGGACCAUUUAAUGGCAUACUUAGGAAGUCAGUCCCUGCCAACCCAUGUAUCUGCUCAAAGUUCUUAAAGGACCCUAGUUGGGGUAGUGGCAUCCAAUGAAGGGUUGGCUUUUAUUAACUCCUCAGUGGUAGUGAACACAGGUCCUACACCUAGACCAAGACCCAAUUGUGGCCAAGAGAACCACCUUGAGAAAUCUAAAAGCCAAUUCAUGGCUAAAUGUGCUGUAAAUAUUGACCAGUCGUUGUGGGUUGCUAUUAAUACCUUGAGGGCAAGCUUUUCUAUGAAGAUAGAAGUCAACAGCCACAGACCUCUCAGUUUGGUGGUGAACAUAUCCUUGAACUCCAUGCUUCUUUCCCUCUGUUGAAUGAUGAGACAGGCUGUCAUACUUGACAUUGCCAAUAACCCUUCAGGAGGUCUGUGAGCAUCAAAUAAAGGGAACACCAGGUUGUGUUCCAGCUCCAGUAUGAGCUGGAAUAAUGAAAAAAUAUGGCUGAGGGCUCUUUGUUUUGUAAGCUGGGUAAGGCUAGAGAAUGGCAGGGAGAGUGGAACAGAGUUGUGGCCCAUUUGUCUUAUUACUUGGUCCCCCAAAGACUCAUCCUUGUCUUUUUUUAAAAAAAAUAUUUGAGAGAGAGAGAGAGCGAGCGCACAUGAGCAGGGGAGGGGCAGAGAGAGAGAAACAUAGAAUCUGAAGCAGGCUUCAGGCUCUGAGCUGUCAGCACAGAGCCCGACGCAAGCUUGAACUCUUGCACCGCGAGAUCGUGACCUGAAACGAUGUCCGACGCUUAACCAACUGAGCCACCCAGGCACCCUGACUCAUCCUUGUUUUUAACACCACACUGCCUUCGUUUAAAUCCUGGUGUAGGCACUUCUAGCUGUGUGACUCUGAUCAAGUUACUUAACUUCUCUGUGCUGCAAUUUCUUCAUACAUAAAAUGGCAACAAUAAAGACAAUAACUACAUAGGGUCAUGGAAAUUGUUAUGAAGAUUAAAUGCCUUGAUGAGGCUGAAGAGCUUAGAACAAUGUCUAAUGUAUAGUAAGUGUUCUGUAAGAGUUAGCUCUUACUAUUAUUAUUGAAAGUCACUUAAAAUCUAUAACCCCAAACAUUUGAGACCCUGGAGACCUUUGAAAAAGAAGAAGAAAAGAGGAAAACAAUGUGGAGAUGGGCAUGCCACUUCCUUCCUUCACUUAACUAAUAUUUUGGCAAUAAAUAUCCAGUGCCAGGUAACUAUGUGAAGACAUGGGGUAGCCUGAAGAAAGAAGAUACAGUUUCUGCUCCUGAGGACUCACAGUUUAGCUGGGGUGGAGGGUGGGGGGGGCUUAUACACUUAAGUAAAAUAUCAGAAUAUGACGUCCUAUGUGCUUGAUUAGAGGUAUAGAGAGAUGGCUACGGGAAGCGGCCAAGGCUUUGGAGAAGGAAUGUCAUGGGGUGAGGAGGAACUCAGUGGGUGCAGGUGCCACGGGAGGAGGAUUUUGCUGGUGGAGGUCGGAGCAGAAUAAAAGCGAGAAGGUGUGGAGGGGCUCGAUGCUCCAUGCAGGGAGAGCUGAGCGCAGCCAUUGCAGGGAGAGGUGCAGGCUGAUGACGGAGCAGGUGAGCCAAUGCCAGGCUGCUGACGGUCUUGAACCACCCAGCUGGGGGUUUGAACUUCACUCUGACAGUAGAGUGCAGGGGCGAGAUGUGAUCAGAAUCUGGGUCUCAGAAGUCUUGUCUGGCUUCACAGCCAUCCAGAGUCCUUUAUACUUCCUCCUGAGAUCCUUGGUGCUUAGAGUGAGCUUUGGGGACCAGCAGGGCCUGUCAGCCAUGCAGAAUCUCAAGUCUUCCUCAGACCAACCCCCCCUCAAAACUCACCAGACCAUUACAGUCUGAGCUACACUGUGUAUUUGGGUUCAGAGAGUUUGCCUUACAAAUGUUGCCUUCUCCCUCAUUCUGUUGCUGGAAGGCUGAGCUCCAUGAGCAGCAAGAAGCUGGGGUUUUGGGGCUGAGGAUUGCUCAGGUGAGGUGUCCUCUGGAAGGCUGUGGUUCCUAUAUUGCUGCCGGGGCUCCUCAUCCGUGUCUGUCUCGCAUGGCUUUUCUCAGUCAGAGUGUUUGCACUCAGCAGCAGGGACACAGACAUGUUUCAAGAUGUUUCUGCUCAUCAAGGGCUUAAAAAUUGUCAUUAUCAGAUUUUCAUGUCCAGCCCUUGAAAGUAAUAAUCUGUUCCCAUAGAUGUCUGCCCUGUCAGGCUUUCUCCUCCAUUGCAUUAACAGCCCCAUUUGUGAUAUUUAUUUUCCAAGUUUCUCUACCCUUCUAGAAGUUUCCAAAGUUGCCUCUGGGUCUCUCUCUGUCUCUCUCUCUCUCUUUUUUUUUUUUUUUUUGCAGAGUAGGGUGUCUUUUCAAACAUUAUUUAAUCUACCAGCAUCCCUUCAGUGGUAAGCACCAUGAGAAGGAAGCCUUCCUCCUUUUCCAGGAUGUAUUAACCUCAAAGAAAUAAGAACGUGGAUCUGGGGAGAAGGAACAGCCACAUCCCAAUAUCUAGGUGCUGCCUGUCACCGGCUCAUACCCAAAGGCAAAUGCAUAUGAGUUGGAUGCUGCAUUGCCCCAAGUAGAUGAGCCUCUAUUCAUCAAAGACUUUCUUUGAAAGCUUAAAGUAUAUCUUUUCAGUGCUGCUCCGUAUUUUUCUCAAGCUACUGUAGGGUUGGUAUGCUAGCUCAAAGUACAGGAAAAGCCAGGGAAAUUGUGAGAGAAUUCUUUUUUGCCUUUCAACCUCAUGUGGUUACUGAAAAAAAAAAAAAAAUCCGCAGACCUGCCUGGAUGGAUCUUACCGAAUCAACUCUGGAAGCAGAUAGCCCAUAGCAGAACAGCCGAAUUGGACAUUCUGUUCUCACAGAAUGAAUGGUCUGCUGAGCAGUUAAUCAGCUCUUCAUUCCAACUCAGGCAAGAGAAACAGACGAAGGAAGCUGGUGGGGAAGAACAGAACUUCACCUUGUGUAUCAAGAGUAACUCUGAAAGGGACACUAUUAGAAUCUAUUCCAACAAAGACAUCCUACCAGAUCCGAAGACGUGAAAACAAACAGAAAAGGAUUCGAGUCCUGUCAUAUAGCACAGUGGUCAGACCAAGUUCGCUCAGCCUUGGCCCUAUUAACAUGCUGGGUUGGAUAGUCUUCUGUGCAGGGCUGUCCUGUGCUUCAUAGGGUGUUCAGCAGCAUCCCUGGACACAUUCCCUUGGUCGUAACAAGCAAAAAGUAUCUCCAGACAUUGCCACAUGUCUCCUGGGGGUAACACCACUCCUGGCCAAGAAAAACUAGGCUAAAGAAAGGGCUAACUGGAUUCAUGACCCAACUCUGCCACCUACUAGCUCCAUGAUCUUGGAUAAGUCUCUUAGUCUCUUGAGCUCAAUUUUCUCAUCUGUAAAAAUGGGGCUACCUCACAGGAUUACUAUAGGAUUAGGCACUUAAAUAUGCAUAAUCUAGCACAUAGUACAUGUUCAAUAAACAUCAACUAUUUUUGUGAUGAUAAUCACGUCCUCUCACCUGAGGUAAAAUACUGUAACCUGUAAACUGGAACGACUCAUGGAUAAGAAGAUUAAGGACAAAGACCACAUCUUAGAUUAUCACAUGGGGACGAGGUCUGCUGUAGUGGACAAAAGCACUGGUUCGCCCUACAUUUGUGUUCAGCUAAAAGAAAAGCACUACACACAUCGGAUUAGCAGGGAAGCUCUGGAAAUUCUGAAGGACUCAAACAGUGUUAAUAGGGGUGCCGGAUUUAACCUUGGAAAUCUGGAAAACAACAGGGCACAGUGUAAACAGAGUAAAAAAAGAACAGAGGGCCUUUUAGAAGAGCUGUAAGGCUUAACCAAAAUCCUUCCCCCUCCCUGUGCAACACCCACUGUCUCACUUAAGCGCCUCCCUUAGAAAAGUCCUUUGAGGUCUGAAGUAACCAGCAGUCCUUGCUGAGGAACAUGGCAACUUCGCCUUCCACUGUAAGUUGCUCAUGGUUCCUGAAGCCCGAAGCUGAAGCAUCUGGUGUUCUCUGAGAUGCUGAACCAGGAACUCUAGGCAGAGCCUGGGGCUGGGGGUGCAGGACCGGGAGUCCCAAAGAAUGGAGUUAAAAUUGACUGAAAGGCCAUUGCUUUUGAUGGAUUUUAUGAUGGAUGCAUAAAAUCAAGCAAGAUGUGAACUUUAAAUUGAUUGCAACAUGUUACCUUAUCACUGUGUUCCCUGAUUAAUUUCUGGUCUGAUCUUAUCUUGCAUUUCCCAAGAUGCUUCUGAAGGCUUUCAUGUCCAGCUUAAAUCACACUUUUCUUUUCUCCUGCCAGUAUUCCAUGUUCCCAGGGUGCGAGUAGAUGGGGAAGCAUUUUCUAUAGGACAAGUUAGUGCUUUUGGGGGCCUCUCCCUUGCCUAUAGCAAAUUUCUCAGGGUGUGAAAGAAAAAUCAGACUCCAUGGAGUUCUUUUUGCUUUUUUUGGUAUAUCUUUAAUCUGCAAUCAUUUCAAGGCCUUGGUUUAUUUUUAUAUGUUACUCAUCCACUUUUUUGCUUUAUAUUUCAUUUUAUCCUGUAUUUAAAUCUUCAAAUUUCAAUAUCACCUUGAGUGUUAUCAGGGUUAUUCCUCAUGCCAAAAGCUCAGAAAUACUGGUGUAUUUAUGUAGGUUUAUCUGGCUUUUUUUUUCCUUGAGGUACUGUUAUUAGUCAGAAUCCUGGUAGAAAGAAGGUGGCUGAGUUGAAAAGAACAUUAAUGAAGCUCUUUGGGCAGAGUUAAAGGAAACAACUCCGGAUGGCAAGGCACCUGGGAACCAGGAACAGCAAAGACCUGUGACCUCCCUGAAGCCUGAGGGGCCAUGAGGGGUGGGGAUAGGGAUGUCUGAGCCUGAUAAGAAAUGUACUGGAAGGGGCUCUCACAGGACGAUAGCCACGUGGGAAUACAACCACCAACAGCCCUUUGGAGAGACACGAAGGAAGCAGAGAGAAUAAACACUCCAACUGUCUUUUCUCCCACUUUUUGGUUUCCUAGUGGUGCCUCUGAUUGGCCAAUCUGGAUGACCCAGUCCACAGAGAUUAGCGUCCCUGACACAGAGAAGGGCAGUGAAUAGAUCUGGAUUGAGGUGGGAAUAAAGCACAAACAAUAACCAACAUCAACUUCUUCUUCACUUUUGGCUGUUGAAAUUCUCAUUAGGGUAUCAAUAGAUGAGCAACUCUCAGUAGAUUAUCAAUGGUGAUGAGUACACAUGAAUGCAUGCCAAUUCUAUUCUUGUUAUGAUGAAAUCAAUUUUUGCUCUUCCUAGAGAUACAUAUAUAGUUUUGUUUGUUUUAGGAAGCUUCUCUUUCUCCUGCUUGAUCAGUCUGGUGUCCCUGUAUAGAGUGGACAACUGUCUUUAAAAACCUGAAUGCCCACACAAAGAAUAUAUUGGAAAUGUUAAUUCUCAGCCCCCACAUGACAUCUACUGAACCAGAAACCUGGUGGGGAGGGUGCCCACUGAUUUGUGUUAACAAGCCCUCCAGGGAGUCUGACGCAUGCUCGCGUUUGAGAAGCGUGGGGCAAGAUGUUGUGCAGAACAUCUCUGAUACUUCUCUCACACCACACCUUUUUGUUCUGGGUGUUGCUGUGGCAACCAGCAGUGCAUAAGUAUAGCCUGACCACACCUCGCUUCAGCUGCACCACAUAUAUCUUCUCUGCCUCUGGGCUUCUCUUCCACUGCGGUGUGGUAUAACUGGGGGGAGCAUUCUCAACUCUUCCUAGGCAUGUGCAAACCUGGAAAUGCUAAAGUGUUCAUUAGUAGCCCUGGGGCAGCCUUGUGGACCAAUGGAGGUUGGGAGCCAGUAGAUAUAUAUCUCUCCCAUGGUCCUGGGGUGAAGGCGCAUUCAACAUGGCUCCUCAGUAGUUUCCAGUGGAACUGAGCUCCAUUUGCCCAAAGUACUAACAAGCUCAGUAAUACUCCUUUGGAUUGGCUUUCUGUCUUCCCAAUCACUUUCUAAAAUUAACCACUACAUGCAAACCCUUGUCUCAUGCUCUGCUUCUUGGAGGAAUCCAAGCUAAGACAAAUGUUCUUUCCUCAUCCUUUAGCAAUAUUUUACUCAAUAGUGCUUAUUUUUACCAUCUUAGCAGUGGCUAUAAUCUCUCUGGCAAUAUGGUUCCAUAGUUCUCUGUCUCCCCAGUAGGUUAGUAUUCUUGAGGUCAGGGACCUUAUUCAAGGAAUGAAUACUCUUCAUUCAAGGAAUACUCCCCACCCACCCUUGUCCUGGUGGGUUUUUGUAUAGUGCUGAGCACAAUAAGUGUUGAAUUUAACAGACUGUCAGCCAUGUCUGAUGACUUGUAAAGUCACAUUGUAAUAUUCUCAGUGUGUCUGACUUUGGAUAGUGUUCUCCUUUAUUGUUACAAUCUUGAAGUUAUGGCCUUUCUCUUUGAGCUAUUUUCAAUCAAGUUGUUGCUCAAAAAUGAGGUUGGAUUGCUUGUGACCAUUCAGUACAGCCAGGCCCCACUUCACGGACAUUGAGCUGUGAAGUUGUAGAAGGUCCUAUGUUCAGAAGGGUCCCACCCUUGGAUAAUGCUUGGCUCUUGCCAGUUGGAACAACUUCUUCUUCUCCUCCUCCUCCUCCUCCUUCUUCAAUGUUUACUUAUUUUUGAAAGAGAGAGAACACAUAAGGAGGGGAGGGGCAGAGAGAGAGGGAGACACAGAAUCUGAAGCAGGCUUCAGGCUCUGAGCUGUCAACACAGAGCCUGAUGUGGGGCUGGAACUUACAAACCAUGAGAUCAUGAUCUGAGCUGAAGUUGGUCACUGAACCGACUGAGCCACCCAGGCGCCCUGCCAUCUUGAACUUCUUAAUAAUUUUAUCUUUGUGGUUGUGUUUUGUGAGUGAAGUUCAAAGGACAUUGGAAUAUACAUGUGAGCAGAGGAGAUAGACAUAACAUAUGCAUCUAUCCUUCCCUACUUCCCAGUGUAAUUGUUCAUGAUGUUCCAUGAGCACAGAGUCCCAAGCCGAACCACACACAGGAAGCCAGCAACACUUAAAAUGAAUACCAGGCAAGUGUGUAAUGUUCAUCACUGAGCAAUCUGAGAAGGGGAAGGUAAGUAAGGAGAGGAAGUGGGGAGAGAGGGUAAGAGGCCAUGCUUUCCAGGUGGAACCAGAACAUGCUUCCAAAGAAAGAAGGCAACAGUGUUCCAAGAAACACUGGAGACCAGGGAACCCUAUCAUAUCCUUUCUCGCUCAUUUUACUUCCCUGUAUUAGCUCACCACUUCUUCUGAAAAUGAUGAUAUAGAAGAAUAGGAAAAGGUAAGGUAACUCCAUGCUUUUCUUUUGGUCUUCCUUACCUAUCAAUAAGCUGAAGAAAGAAAGUGUUGGUAGAAUGGGCACAUAACAAGUGGUGCAAUAAACACAGUUUGGUUAAUUUUGUUCAGUGUCUCCAUUGUUCUGAUAAGAAUAAAAUGGAUAUAUGAGCUAUAAAAUUCCAGUUGUUUAAUUUCAGUGAUUCUGCAUACCAGCUGAAUGUUGUUAUGUUCGCACGUAAAAUGAUCAUUGCAUGAGAUAAAGAUGAAUGGGAAGAUUUAAAUAUAUUCACAUGUGAAAAGAAAUAUUCAUAAAAAAGAAAAAUAAAAAAUACAUUAAAAUUUGUGUAUAAUGAGCCACACUGUAUGUGUGUGUCUCAAGCAUGUAAAAUAAAAUGCUUUAAUAAAUAAGAAAUAAUAAGACUAAGGUGAGCUGCUUCUAAUCCCAGUUAGAAUGUGCCAGGCUUUGGGAAUAAAAAGAUAAAAGCCAUCGUCCUUGCCCAAGGACUUCACAGAUUAGCAGGGGAUUCAGACAAUCAACUCAACAAUCAGAGAAGAGGGUGGUGAGAGCUCUGAACAUCUAGCUGCUUGGGGAUCAGGAGCAAAGACGGCAGGCAUGUCAGUGGGGGUCUGGAUGCUGGCUCACGUAGCCCUGGUCACCGGUCACACACACACUCUAGCAUGGCGCUUGGCACACAGUAGGCACGCAAUCAUCAGAGGAAUGAAUCUGAUUCAGGGUAGCUUUCUGGAGGAGGUGAUUUUUUUUAUGUUUUUAUUUUAUUUUUGAGAGGGGGAGAGAGAGAGAGAGAGAGAGAGAGAGACAUUGCACGAGUGGGGGAGGGGCAGAGAGAGAGGGAGACACAGGAUCUGAAGCAGGUUCCAGGCUCUGAGCUAUCAGCACAGAGCCCGACGUGGGGCUUGAACUCAUGGACUGCAAGAUCAGGACCUGAGCUGAAGUUGGCGCUCAACCAACUGAGCCACCCAGGCGCCUCUGGAGGAGGUGACUUCUUAACUGGAAGUUCAGUACCCUGAGCUUGCGGACACCCCAGUUGCUCCAUUAACCUCCAAACAUCAUGUGAGUGAUGAAUAUUUCUUUUCACGUGCAAAUAUAUUAUAAGUUGUGAAGAGAAGAGAAGCCUAGGUGAAACGGUAUUUCCAAGAGUCCCUUCUAGGAUGAUGACCUUUGUGUCCAACGUCAGGAGGGAAAGGAAACAUUGGGGCUCUCAUUCCUGCCUUAGGUGUUAUUCUUAAUUACAAGGACAGGGUUUAAUUUUGCAUUAUACAUUUUAUGGUUAAGAAUUAGAGAAGUCUUUGUGUAUUCCUUAUCCAGAUGCAAUGCUUUCAUUUCAUAAAUCCAUCCAUAUAACCUAUUCUUUUUGCCUAUGUACUUCAUAUUUCUUUGCAAGACACUCAACAGCCUUCAUCCCUGAGAGAAAGAGUUGUUCCACAAGGCCCUCCUCAGGCAGCCCCAGAACCUCCGGAAGGUGACAUGUGGCAAUAACCAUCAUCCACAGAGCUUCCAAAGCAUCUCACCUGCCCAACCUUAUGGCUCUUCUGCUUGGUGUCACCGUUGUUCAUGUAUUAAUUAGGCCGGGAGUUUCUUGAGAGUGGCUUUGUGUCUAAGUCACUCCUGGAAUCCAGUACAGUGUCUGGUACAUAGAAGGAGCACAAAAAAAUGGGGUUGGUUGAAUGAAUGACCCAAUAUCAUCUGACUGCUCCCAAGCUUCUUUAACUAUGGUCUUAGGUGUCUCACCUCUUUAUCUUAUUUAUCACUCUUUUCCUGACACUUUUUAAAUAUAGAACAUACACACAUUUGCAGAGGCUCACCUCCCUCCCUCCAUAUACACACACUAGCUUUGGAAAUGCAGAGUGAACUUGACUGAAAGAUUUUGUCAGGGCACUUACACUUGUUAGGACAGUUCACAGAAACAUAAAAAAAAUGAUGGAUUGCUUCGUCCUGGCCCUUACACAUCUUAGCUCGAUGGAAUGUCUUGGUGGUAUCUGAUUUCAGAGCACACCUGUAGACCUAGUGACAGCCUGUGCUCCUGAGUGGGUUUAGGAAAGCACUUAUUUAUUAUAAAGUUAAAAUUAAACUACACGUUUUUACAUGUUGUUUAGUGGCAGGAGCUGAUGCAAAACUUUGUCAACACAGAACUUUUCACACCUCGG